GCCGGGUUAGCUCAGUUGGUAGAGCGCCGCACUUGUAAUGCGAAGGUCGCGAGUUCGAUUCUCGCACCCGGCUCCA
rnacentral:tRNA from 1 species